GUUUUUUAAUAGUUAUUGGAAAUAAAUUAUUUCUUUCUCAGUAUUAAACAGUGCAGUGUAUGCUUUUUGUUAUUGCACUGUGCUACCUGUCUCCUAGUACAUUC